AAAUUGAAGAGUUUGAUCAUGGCUCAGAUUGAACGCUGGCGGCAGGCCUAACACAUGCAAGUCGAACGGUAACAGGAAGCAGCUUGCUGCUUCGCUGACGAGUGGCGGACGGGUGAGUAAUGUCUGGGAAACUGCCUGAUGGAGGGGGAUAACUACUGGAAACGGUGGCUAAUACCGCAUAACGUCGCAAGACCAAAGAGGGGGACCUUCGGGCCUCUUGCCAUCAGAUGUGCCCAGAUGGGAUUAGCUUGUUGGUGAGGUAACGGCUCACCAAGGCGACGAUCCCUAGCUGGUCUGAGAGGAUGACCAGCCACACUGGAACUGAGACACGGUCCAGACUCCUACGGGAGGCAGCAGUGGGGAAUAUUGCACAAUGGGCGCAAGCCUGAUGCAGCCAUGCCGCGUGUAUGAAGAAGGCCUU
rnacentral:rRNA from 8 species